rnacentral:rRNA from 1 species
GAUGAACGCUGGCGGCGUGCCUAAUACAUGCAAGUCGAGCGAACAGACGAGGAGCUUGCUCCUCUAACGUUAGCGGCGGACGGGUGAGUAACACGUGGAUAACCUACCUAUAAGACUGGGAUAACUUCGGGAAACCGGAGCUAAUACCGGAUAAUAUAUUGAACCGCAUGGUUCAAUAGUGAAAGACGGUUUUGCUGUCACUUAUAGAUGGAUCCGCGCCGCAUUAGCUAGUUGGUAAGGUAACAGCUUACCAAGGCAACGAUGCGUAGCCGACCUGAGAGGGUGAUCGGCCACACUGGAACUGAGACACGGUCCAGACUCCUACGGGAGGCAGCAGUAGGGAAUAUUCCGCAAUGGGCGAAAGCCUGACGGAGCAACGCCGCGUGAGUGAUGAAGGUCUUCGGAUCGUAAAACUCUGUUAUUAGGGAAGAACAAAUGUGUAAGUAACUAUGCACGUCUUGACGGUACCUAAUCAGAAAGCCACGGCUAACUACGUG